rnacentral:rRNA from 1 species
UACAGAGGUCCCGAGCGUUGUUCGGAUUCACUGGGCGUAAAGGGUGCGUAGGUGGCUGGGAAAGUUUGAUGUGAAAGCUCAGGGCUUAACCCUGAAAUGGCAUUGAAUACUGCCUGGCUGGAGGUUUGGAGGGGGGACUGGAAUUCUUGGUGUAGCAGUGAAAUGCGUAGAUAUCAAGAGGAACACCAGUGGCGAAGGCGAGUCCCUGGACAACACCUGACACUGAGGCACGAAAGCCGGGGGGAGCAAAACAGG